UUAAUCAUUUUAAAAUUUGAAUUGCAAUUUUCGUUACAUUUGAUCUGUAAGAAUUCGAUUCUGAAUCAUUUUCAUUUCAAAUCGAUUCACACACAUAGCAGACGCUAACACAUCAAGCGUCAUCAAUAGCGUGGUCUGUGGUGCAAUGCUAUCGCUGGAGUAAGGCGUUUACCUUCAAUUCGGGUAUCGUCAUGAUUGGCCUACCCUGAUGGCGUCAUGAUCGCUGCUGAUUGCCUUUCAAAUAGGUUUUCAGCAUUCUGCUUACACCUUUGGCAUAGAGUCACAUAUUUCACAAUCCAACAUCAAUUGGUACCAACAGCAGCCCUUCUCUCCAUCAUCCAGAAGGGUCUGAGAUCAGUGUUGGAGAUGAUGGUUCGGAACAACCCAUGGAAAGCUUAUCACUCAUUGAUGCUGUGAUGCCUGAUGUUGUUGCAAGUCGUUAACAGCAAACACAGAACAAUCAGAAACCAAAGUGGUAAGACCGUAAGACAGAACCACCAAAUUCCAAUGGAGAUGAACCCAUGCAUUCCUAUCGUAAGAUAGUCAAUACUUUUUUUUUAUCCCCUGAACUGCUUACUUAUUUUCCCUUCAACUAUUUAAUGAAGGCUGGGAAGAGGAAUUACUAGAGGAAGAGGAAUUACUAUCCUGUUUAUUGAAUAUACAGUGUAAUGACACCAUAAAACAUCAGACCACCUAAAUCAUAAUUGGGGGAAAUUUCAAAAAAUAAAACACGCGGUAGCCAACUGAUUUUUAAAACAUAUUAUCUUAUUUUUAUUGACAAAUCAAAUCAAAAUAUUUUUAUCAACGUCACAACGGAAAAUAUACCAGCUCAACGUCCCACAAUCGAACGGUCAAGUCAAACGAAGCGCUAGCCAAAAUCAGAUUCGUGUUGGGGUUUUUUGUUCCAAGGCCGGUAGAACUCCAUUUUUUGGUGUACAUUUCCUUGUUGUGUUUUGUGUGCUUGCGAAUCAUGAACACAAGUGGCUUAUUUCAUGGACCACAUCUAGGAGUGUUACUCAUUAUUUAUCUCCUACCAGUUGGCGGGUGGCCCAAAUCUCCCGUUUUACAAGAUGACAUUGGUGCUGGAGCAGCUGUGUGAAGACGUAAAGCUAUCACAGAAGCUUCUCUCACACGAGAAAAUCAAGGCCCAUAGGAAGAAGGAGACACAGUUGAAGAACUCCAUCCUUUUUGCUUUGUGGACACGGUACCAGGAUAAUGAGUUAUCAACCGUGGAACUACUGGAGGAAAUAGUGUUAGAACUGAAAACCUCAUUCCCAACUGUAGUCACUGACCAUCCUUUAAACCUGAAUGAUGAAAACAUAGAUAAUUAUGACAUGUCAUUUGUGAGCGAUGAUGAAAUGUAAACUUAACAUUCAACUGAUUUUUAAAACAUUAUCUUAUUUUUAUUGAUGUAUAAAAUGUAUUGGCACUGGUUACCUGAAUAGCAUUCAGGUUCCCAAUCUUUUGCCUUGUCAAUUGUUUCCGUCUUUCUUUAAAGCUUCUCUUCAGUUAUCCCAGCAAAUACCUUGAAAUGAAAUAAAAUUAAAACAAAUCGAA